AUAGAGCCCCAUAGCCCGCCCCAUAGAGCCCAUAGAGCCCCAUAGAGCCCCAUAGCCGCCCCAUAGAGCCCCAUAGCCGCCCCAUAGAGCCCCAUAGAGCCCCAUAGAGCCCCAUAAGCCCCCAUAGAGCCCCAGAGAGCCCCAUAGCCGCCCCAUAGAGCCCCAGAGAGCCCCAUAGAGCCCCAUAGCCGCCCCAUAGAGCCCAUAGAGCCCCAUAGGAGCCCCAUAGUGGCCCAUAGCGGCCCCAUAGAGCCCACAUAGAGCCCCAUAGAGCCCCAUAGCCGCCCCAUAGAGCCCCAUAGCCGCCCCAUAGAGCCCCAUAGAGCCCCAUAGAGCCCCAUAGCCGCCCCAUAGAGCCCCAUAGAGCCCCAUAGAGCCCCAUAACCGCCCCAUAGAGCCCCAUAGAACCCCAUAGAGCCCCAUAGAGCCCCACAGAGCCCCAUAGAGCCCCAUAGACGCCCCAUAGAGCCCCAUAGAGCCCCAUAGCCGCCCCAUAGAGCCCCAUAGAGCCCCAUAGAGCCCCAUAGAGCCCCAUAGCACCCCCUAGAGCCCCAUAGAGCCCCAUAGAGCCCCAUAGAGCCCCCAUAGCCGCCCCAUAGAGCCCCAUAGAGCCCCAUAGAGCCACAUAGCCGCCCAUAGAGCCCCAUAGAGCCCCAUAGAGCCCAUAGCCGCCCCAAUAG
ensembl:lncRNA